CCUACGGGUGGCAGCAGUAGGGAAUUUUCGUCAAUGGGCGCAAGCCUGAACGAGCAAUGCCGCGUGAACGAGGAAGGUCUUCGGAUCGUAAAGUCCUGUUGAAGGGGAAAAAGAGCGGAGAGAGGAAAUGGUCUCCGAUUUAUAUUACUCUUCGAGGAAGUCACGGCUAACUACGUGCCAGCAGCCGCGGUAAUACGUAGGUGGCGAGCGUUAUCCGGAUUGAUUGGGCGUAACGGGUGCGUAGGCGGCCUGCUAAGUCUGGAGUGAACGGUACCGGCUCAACCGGUACAGGCUCUGGAAACUGGCGGGCUAGAGUGCGGGAGAGGGCGGUGGAACGCCAUGUGUAGCGGUAAAAUGCGUAGAUAUAGGGAAGAACCCCGGUGGCGAAGGCGGCCGCCUGGCCUGUUACUGACGCUGAGGCACGAAAGCGUGGGGAGCGAAUAGGAUUAGAUACCCUAGUAGUC
rnacentral:rRNA from 1 species